UCUUUAGAUUUAAUUUAAGAUCGGGCCUGCCCAUUGAUUUUAUAAUUAAAAGGCUGCGGUAUUUUAACUGUACGAAGGUAGCAUAAUCACUUGUCUUUUAAUUGAAGGCUAGAAUGAAUGGUUUGAUGAAAAAUAGUCUUUCUUUUUUUAAUUAAUUUGAAUUUAACUUUUUAGUUAAAAGGCUAAAAUUUUUUUAUAGGACGAGAAGACCCUAUAGAAGUUUACUUUAUUAAUUAUUUUUUAUUUUUUGUUUUUAAAAUAAUUUUUUUAAAAUAGAGUUUUGUUGGGGUGACAUUAAAAUGUAUUUAACUUUUAAUUAUUUUUUCAUUAAUUUAUGUUUUAUUGAUCUUAGAUUCUGGAUUAUAAGUAUAACUUACCUUAGGGAUAACAGCGUAAUUUUUUUGGAGAGAUCAUAUC
rnacentral:rRNA from 1 species